GAUCCUGCUCAGGACGAACGCUGGCGGCGUGCUUAACACAUGCAAGUCGAACGAGAAUCUGUGGAUCGAGGAUUCGUCCAAGUGAAGCAGAGGACAGUGGCGGACGGGUGAGUAACGCGUGAGGAACCUGCCUUUCAGAGGGGGACAACAGUUGGAAACGACUGCUAAUACCGCAUGAUACAUUUGGGUGGCAUCAUCUGAAUGUCAAAGAUUUAUCGCUGAAAGAUGG
rnacentral:rRNA from 1 species